UGGGGAAUAUUGGACAAUGGGGGCAACCCUGAUCCAGCGACGCCGCGUGUGUGAAGAAGGCCUGCGGGUUGUAAAGCACUUUUAGUGGGGAUGAAAUGUGCAGGGUUAAUACCUCUGCAUUUUGACCUAACCCACAGAAAAAGCACCGGCUAACUCUGUGCCAGCAGCCGCGGUAAUACAGAGGGUGCAAGCGUUAAUCGGAAUUACUGGGCGUAAAGCGUGCGCAGACGGUUGCGUAAGUCAGAUGUGAAAGCCCCGGGCUCAACCUGGGAAUUGCAUUUGAGACUGCGUAGCUAGGGUGCGGAAGAGGGAAGCGGAAUUUCCGGUGUAGCGGUGAAAUGCGUAGAUAUCGGAAGGAACACCAGUGGCGAAAGCGGCUUCCUGGUCCAGCACCGACGUUCAGGCACGAAAGCGUGGGGAGCAAACAGGAUUAGAUACCCCCGUAGUCC
rnacentral:rRNA from 1 species